rnacentral:rRNA from 1 species
AGAGUUUGAUCCUGGCUCAGGACGAACGCUGGCGGCGUGCUUAACACAUGCAAGUCGAACGGAAAGGCCCUUCGGGGUACUCGAGUGGCGAACGGGUGAGUAACACGUGGGUGAUCUGCCCUGCACUCUGGGAUAAGCCUGGGAAACUGGGUCUAAUACCGGAUAGGACCGCAUGCUUCAUGGUGUGUGGUGCAAAGCUUUUGCGGUGUGGGAUGAGCCCGCGGCCUAUCAGCUUGUUGGUGGGGUAAUGGCCUACCAAGGCGACGACGGGUAGCCGGCCUGAGAGGGUGACCGGCCACACUGGGACUGAGAUACGGCCCAGACUCCUACGGGAGGCAGCAGUGGGGAAUAUUGCACAAUGGGCGCAAGCCUGAUGCAGCGACGCCGCGUGAGGGAUGACGGCCUUCGGGUUGUAAACCUCUUUCAAUAGGGACGAAGCGCAAGUGACGGUACCUAUAGAAGAAGGACCGGCCAACUACGUGCCAGCAGCCGCGGUAAUACGUAGGGUCCGAGCGUUGUCCGGAAUUACUGGGCGUAAAGAGCUCGUAGGUGGUUUGUCGCGUUGUUCGUGAAAACUCACAGCUUAACUGUGGGCGUGCGGGCGAUACGGGCAGACUAGAGUACUGCAGGGGAGACUGGAAUUCCUGGUGUAGCGGUGGAAUGCGCAGAUAUCAGGAGGAACACCGGUGGCGAAGGCGGGUCUCUGGGCAGUAACUGACGCUGAGGAGCGAAAGCGUGGGGAGCGAACAGGAUUAGAUACCCUGGUAGUCCAA